rnacentral:rRNA from 1 species
UGGGGAAUAUUGGACAAUGGGGGGAACCCUGAUCCAGCCAUGCCGCGUGUGUGAAGAAGGCCUUAUGGUUGUAAAGCACUUUAAGCGAGGAGGAGGGUACUGGUAUUAAUACUACCAGGUACUGGACGUUACUCGCAGAAUAAGCACCGGCUAACUCUGUGCCAGCAGCCGCGGUAAUACAGAGGGUGCGAGCGUUAAUCGGAUUUACUGGGCGUAAAGCGUGCGUAGGCGGCUAAUUGAGUCGGAUGUGAAAUCCCCGAGCUUAACUUGGGAAUUGCAUUCGAUACUGGUUAGCUAGAGUGUGGGAGAGGAUGGUAGAAUUCCAGGUGUAGCGGUGAAAUGCGUAGAGAUCUGGAGGAAUACCGAUGGCGAAGGCAGCCAUCUGGCCUAACACUGACGCUGAGGUACGGAAGCAUGGGGAGCAAACAGG